rnacentral:rRNA from 1 species
UCAACCUACCCUAUGGACGGGGAUAACCUCGGGAAACUGAGAAUAAUACCCGAUAGAACAUUAUACCUGGAAUGGUUUAUGUUUCAAAUAAUUUAUUGCCGUAGGAUGGGACUGCGGCCUAUCAGUUUGUUGGUGAGGUAAUGGCCCACCAAGACUAUUACAGGUACGGACUCUGAGAGGAGUAGCCCGGAGAUGGGUACUGAGACACGGACCCAGGCCCUAUGGGGCGCAGCAGGCGAGAAAACUUUGCAACGUGCGAAAGCACGACAGGGUUAAUCCGAGUGGUUUCUGCUAAAGGAACCUUUUGUCAGUCCUAGAAACACUGGUGAAUAAGGGGUGGGCAAGUUCUGGUGUCAGCCGCCGCGGUAAAACCAGCACCUCAAGUGGUCAGGAUGGUUAUUGGGCCUAAAGCAUCCGUAGCCUGCUUUGUCAGUUUUCGGUUAAAUCCAUACGCUCAACGUAUGGGCCGCCGGGAAUACUGCAAAGCUAGGGAGUGGGAGAGGUAGACGGUACUCGGUAGGAAGGGGUAAAAUCCUUUGAUCUAUUGAUGACCACCUGUGGCGAAGGCGGUCUACCAGAACAUGUCCGACGGUGAGGGAUGAAAGCUGGGGGAGCAAGCCGGAUUAGAUACCCGGGUAGUCCCAGCUGUAAACUAUGCAAACUCGGUGAUGCAUUGGCUUGAUGCCAAUGCAGUGCCGCAGGGAAGCCGUUAAGUUUGCCGCCUGGGAAGUACGUACGCAAGUAUGAAACUUAAAGGAAUUGGCGGGGGAGCACCACAAGGGGUGAAGCCUGCGGUUCAAUUGGAGUCAACGCCAGAAAUCUUACCCGGAGAGACAGCAGAAUGAAGGUCAAGCUGAAGACUUUACCAGACAAGCUGAGAAGUGGUGCAUGGCCGUCGCCAGCUCGUGCCGUGAGAUGUCCUGCUAAGUCAGGUAACGAGCGAGAUCCCUGCCUCUAGUUGCCACCAUUACUCUCAGGAGUAGUGGGGCGAAUUAGCGGGACCGCCGUAGUUAAUACGGAGGAAGGAAGGGGCCACGGCAGGUCAGUAUGCCCCGAAACUCUGGGGCCACACGCGGGCUGCAAUGGUAACGACAAUGUGUUCCGAAUCCGAAAGGAGGAGGUAAUCCAGAACGUUACCACAGUUAUGACUGAGGGCUGCACUCGCCCUCACGAAUAUGGAAUCCCUAGUACUGCGUGUCAU